rnacentral:rRNA from 1 species
AGAGCGUAGAGUGGAUGCCUUGGCACCGAGAGCCGAUGAAGGACGUGAUAAGCUGCGAAAAGCUACGGGGAGUUGCAAAUAAACUUUGAUCCGUAGAUGUCCGAAUGGGGAAACCCGACUGAGCAAACCUCAGUCAUCAUACAGCCAAUCCAUAACUGUAUGAGGGGAACGUUGGGAACUGAAACAUCUAAGUACCAACAGGAGGAGAAAGAAAAAUCGAUUUCCUAAGUAGUGGCGAGCGAACGGGAAACAGGCCAAACCAAAGUGCUUGCACUUUGGGGUUGCGGACUGCGACAUGGCAAGAUAGAGGAUAGUCGAAGCGUCUGGAAAGUCGCAUCAUAGAGGGUGAUAAUCCCGUAGACGAAAUCUGAUUGAAGCCUAGCAGUAUCCAGAGUACCACGAGACACGAGAAACCUUGUGGGAAGCCGGGGGGACCACCCCCCAAGCCUAAAUACUCCUCGGUGACCGAUAGCGUAUAGUACUGUGAAGGAAAGGUGAAAAGAACCCCGGGAGGGGAGUGAAAAAGAACCUGAAACUCUAUGUUUACAAGCAGUGGAAGCACCAUAUGAGUGCGACCGCGUACUUUUUGUAGAACGGUCCGGCGAGUUAUUCGUAGUGGCAAGGUUAAGUACCAGGAGGUACGAAGCCGAAGGGAAACCAAGUCUGAAUAGGGCGCAAUUUAGUCGCUGCGAAUAGACCCGAAACCGGGUGACCUACCCAUGGUCAGGAUGAAGUUACCGUAAAAGGUAAUGGAGGUCCGAACUCACAUCUGUUGAAAAAGGUGGAGAUGAACUGUGGGUAGCGGAGAAAUUCCAAUCGAACCCGGAGAUAGCUGGUUCUCCUCGAAAUAGCUUUAGGGCUAGCGUUGUUAGGAGUCUAAUGGAGGUAAAGCACUGAAUUCCCUAGGGGGCCCACAAGCUUACCGAAGGAUAUCAAACUAAGAAUGCCAUAAAGAUACCAACAGCAGUCAGACUACGAGUGAUAAGACACGUGGUCAAAAGGGAAAGAGCCCAGACCAUCAGCUAAGGUCCCCAAGUGUAUGUUAAGUGGAAAAGGAUGUGAGAUUUCGAAGACAACUAGGAUGUUGGCUUAGAAGCAGCCAUACAUUCAAAGAGUGCGUAAUAGCUCACUAGUCGAGAGAUCUUGCGCCGAAAAUGUCCGGGGCUAAAACAUACCACCGAAGCUAUGGAAUUGAUCUUAGAUCAAUUGGUAGAGGAGCGUUGCAUCGACGCAGAAGCAGUACCGUAAGGAGCUGUGGAGUUUAUGCAAGUGAGAAUGCCGGAAUGAGUAGCGAGAUAGAAGUGAGAAUCUUCUAGGCCGAAUAUCCAAGGUUUCCAGGGUAAAGCUGAUCUGCCCUGGGUAAGUCGGGACCUAAGGCGAGGACGAAAGUCGUAGUCGAUGGACAACUGGUUGAAAUUCCAGUACUACCUAUUAUCAGAACUGCAGGGACGCAGAAGGAUAGGGAAGGCGCAGAAUGGAAAGCUGCGUGUAAGUACAAAGCCGCAUCUAGUAGGCAAAUCCGCUAGACGAGGGUGAAGUACGAUACGGAUCGAAAUUAAAGUAGAGAAGUUCCUGAAUCCACACUGCCGAGAAAAGCUGCUAUUGCGUGAUAGGUACCCGUACCGUAAACCGACACAGGUGGAUGAGGAGAGAAUCCUAAGGCCGACGGGAGAAGCGUUGUUAAGGAACUCGGCAAAAUGACCCCGUAACUUAGGGAGAAGGGGUGCCUACUUCGGUAGGCCGCAGAGAAUAGGCCCAAGCAACUGUUUAGCAAAAACACAGGUCUCUGCUAAACCGAAAGGUGAAGUAUAGGGGCUGACGCCUGCCCGGUGCUGGAAGGUUAAGGGGAGAGGUUAGGAGUAAUCCGAAGCUUUGAACUUAAGCCCCAGUAAACGGCGGCCGUAACUAUAACGGUCCUAAGGUAGCGAAAUUCCUUGUCAGGUAAGUUCUGACCCGCACGAAAGGCGUAAUGAUUUGGGCACUGUCUCGACAGCGCACCCGGUGAAAUUGUAGUACCAGUGAAGAUGCUGGUUACCCGCGACAGGACGGAAAGACCCCGUGGAGCUUUACUGUAACUUGAUA